rnacentral:rRNA from 1 species
AGAGUUUGAUCCUGGCUCAGGACGAACGCUGGCGGCGUGCUUAACACAUGCAAGUCGAGCGGAAAGGCCCUUCGGGGUACUCGAGCGGCGAACGGGUGAGUAACACGUGAGUAAUCUGCCCUUGACUCUGGGAUAGCUCCGGGAAACCGGGAUUAAUACCGGAUAUGACUGCCUUAGGCAUCUUUGGUGGUGGAAAGUUUUUCGGUCAGGGAUGUGCUCGCGGCCUAUCAGCUUGUUGGUGGGGUAAUGGCCUACCAAGGCGACGACGGGUAGCCGGCCUGAGAGGGCGACCGGCCACACUGGGACUGAGACACGGCCCAGACUCCUACGGGAGGCAGCAGUGGGGAAUAUUGCGCAAUGGGGGAAACCCUGACGCAGCGACGCCGCGUGCGGGAUGAAGGCCUUCGGGUUGUAAACCGCUUUCAGCAGGGACGAAGCGGAAGUGACGGUACCUGCAGAAGAAGCGCCGGCUAACUACGUGCCAGCAGCCGCGGUAACACGUAGGGCGCGAGCGUUGUCCGGAAUUAUUGGGCGUAAAGAGCUCGUAGGCGGCCUGUUGCGUCCGCUGUGAAAGCCCGGGGCUUAACCCCGGGUCGGCAGUGGAUACGGGCAGGCUAGAGGUAGGUAGGGGAGAAUGGAAUUCCCGGUGUAGCGGUGAAAUGCGCAGAUAUCGGGAGGAACACCGGUGGCGAAGGCGGUUCUCUGGGCCUUACCUGACGCUGAGGAGCGAAAGCGUGGGGAGCGAACAGGAUUAGAUACCCUCGUAGUCC